UCCACCAUGGCCUGGGCUCCUCUCCUCCUCAUGCUCCUCUCUCACUGCACAGGUUCCCUGUCCCAGCCUGUGCUGACUCAGCCGCCCUCCCUCUCUGCAUCUCCUGGAGCAUCAGCCAGACUCACCUGCACCCUGAGCAGUGGCUUCAGUGUUGCUCAGCCGCCCUCGGUGUCUGGAGCCCCGGGGCAGAGGGUCACCAUCUCCUGCAGCAACAUCAAGGGUAGUUAUGUGCAGUGGUACCAGCAGCUCCCAGGAAUGGCUCCCAAACUCCUCAUCUAUGAUAAUAGCGAUAGACCCUCGGGGGUCCCUGCCAGAUUCUCUGGCUCCAAGUCUGGCAGUUCGGCCUCCCUGACCAUCACGGGGCUCCAGGCUGAGGACGAGGCUGAUUAUUACUGUGCAGCCUGGGACAAUAGCCUGAGUGGUCGCACAGUGCUCCAGACACAGGGGGAACUGAGACAAAAACCUGCCCCUGCUUUCUUGUCAUCAGGGUCAUGA